CAGUCUGGAUGCAAAAAUUGGUGGCUCUCGCUCUUAUAGUCUCUGAGAACUAGCCGAGAAACAAGACGGACAGACAGGACAUGGCUCAAUAGACUCGGCUAUUGAUGCUGAUCAAGAAUAUAUACACUCUAUUGGGUCGGAUACGUUUCCUUCUGUGCGUUACAUACAACCGUUAUUCCCCACAAAUGCAAUAUACCCUAUUUACUCUUCGAGUACCGGGUAUAAAAAGAAAGAUCGUGGAAUAUUAGUGGAUGGAUAAUUUUCAACAAAAAACAUCAAAUAUAUUGGUAAGUUGGAUACAGGGACGCGGACAGCACUGUCUAUCGGAAGAAGAAUGAGUUUUGCUACUGGCCGCUUAAUGGUACCGCGCACAGUUAAAACGUCGACCACGCGGACCAUGCCAUCCACCCCUGGAUACGUUCGCUCAAUUCUUCCUAGGCGCCAUUCAUUGAGGGGUAGGUUGUCUUCCUUGAUGAUAACCAUGUCGCCUGUCGGAAGAUUUCUUGUUGGGAGUUGCCACUUAUUCCUUUUGUGUAACUCUUUGAGGUAUUCGUCCUUCGAACGGAGGCAAAACUGCUGGUUCUAAGACUUCAGACGCUGCCAUCUAUUGAUGAUUGACCCUGCGUCCUCUUUUAUUUCUGGCUCUGCAAUAGAAAUCAGCGGACCGCCAAUAAGAAAGUGGUCUGGACUGAGGGUUAGAAGGUCAGUCGGAUCUUCUGACAUGGGAGAAAUCGCUUCUAUCUUUGAGAGGAGGGUCGACAACUCUUCAAAAGUUUACUUCGAUGUCGACGUGGACUUGUAGAAAAGCGUCUUGAAACUUUU
rnacentral:lncRNA from 1 species